UGGUGAUGGUGAUGAUGAUGGUGGUGGUGUUGAUGAUGAUGGUGGUGGUGAUGAACAAUAACAUCAUCAUCAUCACCAUCAUCAUCAUCACAAUCA
rnacentral:pre_miRNA from 1 species